UAUAAAAAUUCUAAUCAGACUAUCCUAAUUUUUUGGAUCACGGAUUAAUCCAAGAUGAUGAAAUGAUUCAAUUGAAAAAAAAGGAAGAGUUUACGUGAUGAAGGAGAGGAAAUUAGAAGAAGAGGAGCAAAAUUUUUUUUUGAUAUAAAAUUAAAUUUUAAUUUUAGUUUUUAGGUUAUUAUUUUAGAUUGAGGAUAACUUACACAUUUUAUAUUGUAUGAAGAUGUCUCACAAUCAAAUUUUCAGUCACCAGAAAUCCAUGUGAAGUCCCGGAAUGUGACGCCCCAAUUUGUCUAGUUAAAAUGCAUUCCGCUCCUGCUCUUGUGUCAUCCCCCCACCCCUCAAAAAAAUAAAUAAAAAAUGAACCCUAGAAUUUUCCCAUUUUGAAAAUGAAAACCUGUGUUAGAAUUUCUGUAAGACUAGGAGUCUAAUCUCUAGUUGUAAGAUUUUUCUGGUUUUGAUUGAAGUUAUGGAGGGUGUAGGGAAGAAUCAGACGAAAAAGAUAAGAUUAAGAUUAAAGAAAGAGAGAAAGCAAGGGAGAGAGGAGGAAUUUCUGGCUUCUUCUUCAGAUACUGUAUCUGCAUCUACCAUCUCCGAAGAAGAUCUCGAAAAACUAAUGAAUUCCAUCAAAAAGGAACCAUAUUUGAAACCUAUUGUUGAAGAUAUUGAGAUUGGUGGUCCAAUUGUAAUGAUGAUGUACUUGAAUAAUCCAGAGGUUCUACUCAAGUUGGGGAAGGCUAUGGGAUUUGUAGAUUCAAAUGGAGAAUUUAAAAUAGCGGCUGUGGCUGAUUAUAUAGAAGAUAAAGAACCACCACACCUCUGGUGUUAGCUGAUUACCAUGAGAUUACCACUUGCAUGCGGAGUUGAUUAAGGUAACAAAAAAAAUUAUGGAGGGAAGGGCAACCUUGUGGAUCAUCUAACAACAGUUCAGAGAAUUCAAAUUCAAGACAAGGGAAGAUUUGUUUUGUUUUGUUUUCUAUAUGAAUAGUUCUACACCCAAUGAGAUAAAAAUUGUGAUUUCUCCUAUGAAAUUCUUUUGAGAAAGUGAUUUCAUGUAGAGCAUUUCCAAUGCUAGUGUCAAAUAAAUCUUUUGUGGAGGUCAUGGUUAUUUGAGGUUAAUCAUGUAUGGAAGAAUACCUUUUAGCUGGGGUCUUUUAACUCUCCAUGUAGUCAUUAUGGAUUCAUCAUCUUUGAGUUCAGAAAAAGUGGAUAAUUUGAAGAUGCAGUGUUGGAUAUCGGAUGACUUUGAGGCUUGCAUCACCCUAUUAACUAGGAUUUAGUGUCCAGACCUUAUAAUGAAGGGGGUUUGGGUUUACGAAAUGUGGAAAUCACUAAUUGUGCUGCUAAUUUGAGGCACAUGAUGAGUGGUAAAAGCACUAUAUGGACUGAGUGGAUUCAUAAGAGCAUCAUCAACAAUUAAGAAGCUGAUUCUGAAUUGUUUUGUUUAUCAUGUCUGGAGAUAAGCAGGAUUUUACAAGUGAAUUUAGCAGAUCAAGUGGGUUACUCGAUUUUAGAUGAUGUGAGAAGUAGGGUGCUCCCCAUUUCCUGCAAAGUUGAGGAUAACUCCUAUUCUAGGAGCAUUAUGGACAGACUGAUAGUUAGUUGUGAAUUUAUGUUGCCUGUUAUUGAGUUCUGCUCUUGGCUUGCUCCCGAGCCUGAUUUUGUUAUGAUUAACUCUGUUGGUUCAAAGAAGUUUCUUACUGGUGGUUUGGGAGCUGUGUCGAGAACCAGUUCUGGUGGUGUUAUUGCAGCUGCAAUGGGAGGUUUCCCUCAAUUUCUGUUAAUGCUCAUGAAUUACAGGAUGUAGAGCUGGGGUUAAACCUGGCUAUUGUGAGAGGUCAGAUUUGGCGAAGAGUGGAGAGACUGAGAUCAUUUUUUGAGGUCUUGAAGAUUUCCCAUAUCUAUGGGGAAACUAAUAGAGCUGCGAAUCUACUUGCGGGUUACCAUCCUCUUAUCAAAUGGGUAGAUGUGGGAAUAGAUGAGCUCUCUCCCGAGUUAUGUGACAUUAUUAGAGAGGAUAGAGGGGGGGAAUUUACUCCCGUAGUUAGUUGUUUUGUUUUUGUGUAGAGGAAAAGCUAACAGGUUAGCAAACAACAUGCUAUUACAUGCAUAAGCAACUUAUUGAUUAGAAAACUGCAUGACUGGUUAUAUGUUAUCCUGGGUCUUAGGAAACUUCGCACUGGAAUCAUCUUUGCUGAUGCUGCCCAAAAGAAGAGUGGCUGAGUGUGUGGCGUCUUCUAGUGGAGUCAGUUGCAACUUGUAAGUCUAUCUACGAGUGGCUACUACCAACUCUUCCCGGGAAUAUGCUGAUGCUGAGAUUGCAAUUCGUGCUGUCAUGAAAAGAUAUCUUGCAGCUCUUAUUGAGACGAAGACACCAAAAUUCGCUUUCAUGUUCUUGACUCCAGAUUACCUUUCGAAAAGCUAUGGGGUAAGUCCUUCGAUGAAGAGGGGCUGAAUGGGUAUUAACUUCAGCAAGAGCAUUCUCUUCCCAUUCCCAAACUGGAAACCCAUGUUGGAGUCCUUUGGAAGCCACAGUACGAUCAAACGUUUGCUUGAGAAGACGAUUUCCAGGAGUUCAUGCAUGGUUGAGAAAUAUGCAUUCCUGAUCGUUUAUACUCGCAUGAUAUUGGCACAAAAGAAGACAGUUUUAGCAAAGAUGAGAGAAAAUUGGCUUAUACAAGGGGAUCACACGUAUCAAAUGUUCGGCAUCCAGCUAAAAGUAUGUCUUGUUCGGAUGGACCUGCCAUACAAACACCUGAUGGUUCGUUUUCCUUUAUAGUUGCAAGAGCAAGCUCAACAUAGGCAUCUAUGUUGCACAGAGAUACAGGAUAAAGACCCGUAGUAAACUGAACCAGAUGGCAUGGCAAAGGUUGUGUAUUGUAGCUCCUGCUUCUACUAGUUUGGAUAACCACAUAUCUCAGCUGUCCUACAUGUAGUGAGAUGGGAGUCACAACACCACCAGUGGAAAAUCAGGCGUUCAGGGGUAGUGAGAUGGGAAAUGCCACCAGAUAAUACACCAGCGUGGUGAACAGAUUCUGUUGCAGAAGGUGGAAGCACCACUGUGAAUGGUACAGCUGAUAAUAUGUGCUCUGGAUUGGCAUCAAUAUGCAUUGAUAAUGAACCUACUCCUGAUACAGCUCCUAAUCACCAAUCGUUUAAAUAACAUAGACCAGGCUAUGCAACAGUAUCAUUUGGAAGACAUUACUAUUCUCCAUCCUCACUGCCGGUGUGUUGCUUUCACGCGAGCAAUCUGAUUGGUGUUCGGAGUUACCCUCACAAGUGAUACCAGAAGUAUACAGCCAAGUAAAUGAAGCUUCAUGAUCAUAACUACAAAUAUAGGUACAUCCAUGGAAUAGAAGCCUGUCGUGCUUCAUAAACUCAAAUGGCUCCGUUCUACAAUUGGGAAAACUAUACUCUUUACUCCAACUCCAGUCAUUAUUAUCUUUAUUCUUCUUUAGAAACCAUAUGUCACAAUUGUCUGCGAAGCUAUUAAUAGCACAUAAAAAAAAAAAAAAAAA